UUGGGAAUCUUCGGCAAUGGACGGAAGUCUGACCGAGCAACGCCGCGUGAGUGAAGAAGGUUUUCGGAUCGUAAAGCUCUGUUGUUAGAGAAGAACGUUGGUAGGACUGGAAAAUCUACCAAGUGACGGUAACUAACCAGAAAGGGACGGCUAACUACGUGCCAGCAGCCGCGGUAAUACGUAGGUCCAGAGCGUUGUCCGGAUUUAUUGGGCGUAAAGCGAGCGCAGGCGGUUCUUUAAGUCUGAAGUUAAAGGCAGUGGCUUAACCAUUGUACGCUUUGGAAACUGGAGGACUUGAGUGCAGAAGGGGAGAGUGGAAUUCCAUGUGUAGCGGUGAAAUGCGUAGAUAUAUGGAGGAACACCGGUGGCGAAAGCGGCUCUCUGGUCUGUAACUGACGCUGAGGCUCGAAAGCGUGGGGAGCAAACAGG
rnacentral:rRNA from 1 species